rnacentral:rRNA from 1 species
AUACGUAGGGGGCGAGCGUUGUCCGGAAUGAUUGGGCGUAAAGGGCGCGUAGGCGGCGCGGUAAGUCUGGAGUGAAAGUCCUGCUUUCAAGGUGGGAAUUGCUUUGGAUACUGCCGCGCUUGAGUGCAGGAGAGGUUAUCGGAAUUCCCGGUGUAGCGGUGAAAUGCGUAGAGAUCGGGAGGAACACCAGUGGCGAAGGCGGGUAACUGGACUGCAACUGACGCUGAGGCGCGAAAGUGUGGGGAGCAAACAGGAUUAGAUACCCUGGUAGUCCACACUGUAAACGAUGAAUGCUAGGUGUAAGAGGUAUCGACCCCUUUUGUGCCGGAGUUAACACAAUAAGCAUUCCGCCUGGGGAGUACGGCCGCAAGGUUGAAACUUAAAGGAAUUGGCGGG